rnacentral:tRNA from 1 species
GUGCCUGUGGCUCAGUGGGUAGGGCACCAGCUCCAUAUACCGAGGGUAGCAGGUUCAAACCUGCCAGGCAUU